rnacentral:misc_RNA from 1 species
GUCUUCCCGGGCCCACCAUUUGCACCUGCGAAUGAGGGUUAGGGAUGAUGGAAUGUUGGACGAUGCGGAUUGUUGCCGAACCUGAGUUGUCUCAGGCGAUCGAGCUGAUGGGGCUGUAGCUCAGCUGGGAGAGCACCUGCUUUGCAAGCAGGGGGUCAGCGGUUCGAUCCCGCUCAGCUCCACCAAAUCGAUUGGUGUUGAGGCUGAGGGUAACGCAACGCAAGGCGCGUCGCCAAUCGUUUGGCGCCUCCGCGGAGCGCCUUCGGCGCGUGAGCGACAAAUUUGUCUUUUGAAGAAAUAAAAGUUUGCAUCGGCUAAGGCCUGAUGCCUGUUCUGCAUACAUUGUGAAGAGAAGAUUGAUCUGGAGGCUUCCAGGUGUUUUGGGUUUUGGCCCGAAACGUCCGAGCCCAGUUCCUGUGAACCCAUGGAUGGCCUAGCCGGCCGGAUAUGGUGGAGGGGCUGGAGGUAGGUAGGAAGCUUGUCGCUCUGGAUCGUUUAUUGUUCGUGGCCCUUGGGCUUCGUCUGAUGAACGAUCGGAUUACCGUUGCCUGACCGCGCGGUAUCGGAUCCAAUCUCGAGAAGCUGGUCUUAAGACCUGACACAAGCGAGCUGCUCGGCGUAGCUCCAAUAAAGUGAUCAGGUCGAACACGUCGAUGGCAUUGUUAGAAAGCGUGAUUGUAAAAGGUAAUCACGCAUGUUUGGCCCGACCGCACGGCAAUCGCAAGGUUGUCUGGAUGGUCGGAUUUGGCACCCCGCGAGGCGAAAGCGAGCGGACAAGGUCUGCCAAAUCAAACAAAGAUGAUGAGCAUUGGCAAUGAGAACGAUUAAGUGUCGUAAGGGCAUUUGGUGGAUGCCUUGGCAUGCACAGGCGAUGAAGGACGUGAUACGCUGCGAAAAGCCGUGGGGAGCUGCGAAUGAGCUUUGAUCCAUGGAUCUC